rnacentral:tRNA from 1 species
GAGGUUGUGGCUCAGUGGUAGAGUGCUCGUCUAGCACACGUGAUGCCCUGGGUUGGAUCCUCAGCACCACA